UCACAGCCAAUUAAGCCAACACGGUAUCUUCCAUCAUGGCGACCUGGUGUGCAAUGGCUGCAAACAGAACCCUCCUUGGGAGUAUACGCAGUCUGUGAUUUGUUGGAUUGCUCUAAGAGAAAGAG
ensembl:snoRNA Gm22942 predicted gene, 22942